UACGGGGGGAGCAAGCGUUGUUCGGAUUUACUGGGCGUAAAGGGCGCGUAGGCGGUCACUACAAGUCAGUUGUGAAAUCUCUGGGCUUAACUCAGAACGGUCAACUGAUACUGUUGGACUAGAGUGCAGAAGGGGCAACUGGAAUUCUCGGUGUAGCGGUAAAAUGCGUAGAUAUCGAGAGGAACACCUGCGGCGAAGGCGGGUUGCUGGGCUGACACUGACGCUGAGGCGCGAAGGCUAGGGGAGCGAACGGG
rnacentral:rRNA from 1 species